GAUGAACGCUGGCGGCGUGCCUAAUACAUGCAAGUCGAGCGAACAGACGAGGAGCUUGCUCCUUCGACGUUAGCGGCGGACGGGUGAGUAACACGUAGGUAACCUACCUAUACGACUGGGAUAACUUCGGGAAACCGGAGCUAAUACCGGAUAAUAUUUCGAACCGCAUGGUUCGAUAGUGAAAGAUGUCUUUGCUGUCACUUAUAGAUGGACCUGCGCCGUAUUAGCUAGUUGGUACGGUAACGGCUUACCAAGGCAACGAUACGUAGCCGACCUGAGAGGGUGAUCGGCCACACUGGAACUGAGACACGGUCCAGACUCCUACGGGAGGCAGCAGUAGGGAAUCGUCCGCAAUGGGCGAAAGCCUGACGGAGCAGCGCCGCGUGAGUGAUGAAGGUCUUCGGAUCGUAAAACUCUGUUAUUAGGGAAGAACAAACGUGUAAGUAACUGUGCACGUCUUGACGGUACCUAAUCAGAAAGCCACGGCUAACUACGUG
rnacentral:rRNA from 1 species